AUGGGUACUGGUAUGGGUACUGGUAUGAGUACUGGUAUGGGUACUGGUAUGGGUACUGGUAUGGAUACUGGUAUGGGUACUGGUAUGGGUUCCGGUAAGGGUUCCGAUAUGGAUACCGGUAUAGAUAUAGGUAUGGAGGAUAAAGAACAUAUUAAUAAGAAUCACUCAGAUGAGGAUAAUAUACUUGAUGACGCUAACCAAAUGAGGAAAGUUAUUACAAAAGAAAUGGAAAUACAUGAAAAAAGAAUGGAUAAGGAAGAAAUAAGUAAAGAAAAUAUAAAAAAAGAAUUAGUUGACUUAACCAAACAAAAAUUAACAAACGAAAUGGGAGAAUCUUGUGUACAAGCACAAUUACAAAAUAAUGAACAUUCAGUAUUGAAUGAAUCAAAAAACAACAACAAAGUAACAGUGAGUGGUGAUAGUGGUAAUAUUGGUAACAGUGGUAAUAUUGGUAACAGUGGUAAUAUUGGUAACAGUGGUAAUAUUGGUAAUAUUGGUAAUAUUGGUGAUAAUAGUGGUAACAGUGGCGAUAAUAGUGAUAAUUCCAAAUUAAACGAAAUAAGAAAAUUAGAAGAGUUAUAUCAAAGAGCAAACUUUGAUUAUAAAACAACCGAAAGGCGUUUUAAUAAUCUAAUAGAUUUAACACAAAAAUUAACAAAUGAAUAUAAAAAUGUAUAUUUUUUAACAAAAGGCGAAUUUGAAACAUUAUGUAAAAACUUAGAAGAAUAUAAAGAAAAUAUAGAAAUACAAUGGCAAAUAAAAUGGAUAGGUGGAGUAGAUAAUAAUAUAUAUGGGCCAUAUAAGUAUUGUGAUAUAUAUAAUUUAAUAGCAAUUGGUGCUGUAUCAGCACUUAAUCCUAUACUUUUAAGAAGGAUAAGCAAUGAAAAUAAAAUUUUAGAAAAUGUUUGGCAAAUGUAUGAUGCAGUUAAUUAUUUAACUUUUGUUACUAACGAAAAUGUAAAAAAAAAAAAAAAAAAAAAAAAAAAAAGGAUUAAUUCAAAUAUCUUCAAAAAAAAAUGAAAAAACUGGAAUUUCUAAUGCUGGUCAUAAUACUAGUGGAACUGUUGAGGGAGAUGAACAAAAUGAAAAUAAUAGCAACGACGAUUCAGAUGAUGACUAUGAUGAUCAUUAUUAACUCAUCCUGGCUUGUGACAUACAUGUGAAUAUAUACAUAUAUACAUAUAUAUAUAUAUAUAUGAUCACAUAUAUUUUUUUUUUAAAACUUAAUUUUUUUAUAUAGUCAUUGAUUUAUUUCUUAUUAU
rnacentral:lncRNA from 1 species